UACAGAGGGGGCAAGCGUUGUUCGGAAUUACUGGGCGUAAAGGGCGCGUAGGCGGCCUGCUAAGUCGAACGUGAAAUCCCCGGGCUCAACCCGGGAACUGCGUCCGAUACUGGCAGGCUUGAAUUCGGGAGAGGGAUGCGGAAUUCCAGGUGUAGCGGUGAAAUGCGUAGAUAUCUGGAGGAAUACCGGUGGCGAAGGCAGCUCGCUGGGACGGUAUUGACGCUAAGGCGCGAAAGCGUGGGGAGCAAACAGG
rnacentral:rRNA from 1 species